rnacentral:rRNA from 1 species
AGAGUUUGAUCCUGGCUCAGAUUGAACGCUGGCGGAAUGCUUUACACAUGCAAGUCGAACGGCAGCACGGACUUCGGUCUGGUGGCGAGUGGCGAACGGGUGAGUAACAUAUCGGAACGUAUCCAAUAAUGGGGGAUAACUAAUCGAAAGGUUGGCUAAUACCGCAUACGCCCUACGGGGGAAAGCUGGGGACCUUCGGGCCUGGCGUUAAUGGAGCGGCCGAUAUCUGAUUAGCUAGUUGGUGGGGUAAAGGCCCACCAAGGCGACGAUCAGUAGCUGGUCUGAGAGGACGACCAGCCACACUGGAACUGAGACACGGUCCAGACUCCUACGGGAGGCAGCAGUGGGGAAUUUUGGACAAUGGGCGCAAGCCUGAUCCAGCCAUUCCGCGUGAGUGAAGAAGGCCUUCGGGUUGUAAAGCUCUUUCGCAAGGGAAGAAAGAUUACUCUCUAACAUAGAGUGAUUAUGACGGUACCUUGAUAAGAAGCACCGGCUAACUACGUGC